GGCUUGAUAGCUCAGUUGGUUAGAGCGCUGCACCGGUAUCGCAGAGGUCAUGGGUUCGAUUCCCGUUCAGGCCU